UACGUAGGGUGCAAGCGUUAAUCGGAAUUACUGGGCGUAAAGCGUGCGCAGGCGGUUUUGUAAGACAGAUGUGAAAUCCCCGGGCUCAACCUGGGAACUGCGUUUGUGACUGCAAGACUUGAGUGCGGCAGAGGGGGGUAGAAUUCCACGUGUAGCAGUGAAAUGCGUAGAGAUGUGGAGGAAUACCGAUGGCGAAGGCAGCCCCCCUGGGUCGACACUGACGCUCAUGCACGAAAGCGUGGGGAGCAAACAGG
rnacentral:rRNA from 1 species